rnacentral:lncRNA from 1 species
AUGCACCUGGGCUCAGCUCCUCUCGGGCUUCUCAAAAUACCUGGGAAGUGUGGACCAGGAUAUACCAGUACAUACCAGUGUAUACCAGUGUAUACCAGUGUAUACCAGUAUAUACCAGUAUAUAUCAGUAUAUACCAGUACAUACCAGUACAUACCAGUAUAUAUCAGUGUAUACCAGUGUAUACCAGUAUAUACCAGUGUAUACCAGUACAUACCAGCAUAUACCAGUGUAUACCAGUAUAUUCCAGUAUAUACCAGUAUAUACCAGUAUAUUCCAGUAUAUACCAGUAUAUACCAGUAUAUUCCAGUAUAUACCAGUAUAUACCAGUAUAUACCAGUAUAUUCCAGUAUAUACCAGUAUAUACCAGUAUAUUCCAGUAUAUACCAGUAUAUAUCAGUGUACACCAGUAUAUACCAGUAUAUACCAGUGUAUACCAGUUCUGUUUCAGGAACUGGUGCUGUCCAAUUCGUCCCAAUGUCCACCCCGAGCCUCCCCUGGCCCAGCCUGAGGCUGUUCCCUCUCCUCCUGUCCCUGUUCCCUGGGAGCAGAGCCUGCCCCCGCCAGCCACCCCCUUCUGUCAGGGAGCUGUGCAGAGCCUGAAGGUCCCUCCUGAGCCUCCUUUUCUCCAGGCUGAGCCCCUUUCCCAGCUCCCUCAGCCCCUCCCCAGCUCCGUUCCCUUCUCUGGACACGCUCCAGCCCCUCCAGCUCUUUCUUGUUGUGAGGGGCUCCAAACUGAGGCCAGGAUUGGAGGUGGUGCCUCAGCAGUGGCCAGCACAGGGGAUGGCACUGCCCUGCUCCUGCUGCCACAGCGGGGCUGGAACAGGCCAAGGUGCCCUGGUCCUUCUUGCCCAGCUGGGCUCCUGUUCAGCUGCUGCCAGCAGCACCCCCAGGGCCUUUCCUGCCGGGCCCUUUCCAGCCCCUCUGCCUCAGCUGGGAGCUGCAGGGGCUCUUGUGAGCAAGGACAGGACCCAGCACUUGGCCUUGUUCAUCCUCACACCACACUCACAUCCAGCCCCUCCAGACACGAGCGUGGAGCCUUCCUGCCCAGCAGCAGAUCAAUACUCCCAGCAACCUUCGUGUCAUCUGCAAACUCACUGAGGGUAAAGAAGCUGUUAAUUAAAACAGCUGAAUGGCAAUUGAGGGGAUACAGAAACCAGGAUGGCGUUUUCUGCUUCAGCCUAUUUUAUGUAAGACUCAGUAUGAGAAUAAGCACCAGCAGUGACCUGGUUUAG